rnacentral:rRNA from 1 species
UACGAAGGGGGCUAGCGUUGCUCGGAAUCACUGGGCGUAAAGGGUGCGUAGGCGGGUUAUUAAGUCAGAGGUGAAAUCCUGGAGCUCAACUCCAGAACUGCCUUUGAUACUGAUAGUCUUGAGUACGGGAGAGGUGAGUGGAACUGCGAGUGUAGAGGUGAAAUUCGUAGAUAUUCGCAAGAACACCUGUGGCGAAAGCGGCGCACUGGACCAUAACUGACGCUGAGGCGCGAAAGCUAGGGGAGCAAACAGG